AACUGGAGGACUGACUAGUAACUAACCCACUGCCUAGCUUAGUCAGGUUGGUGGCAGUUUUCAUUCUGUUGUGGUUAUUGAGGGUCCUGGCUUCCAACUGACUGGUGCUCUUAUCUGCUCUCAAAUCCUAUUGGUCCCCUGAAUUUCCUGGAGGUCACUCACAGUCCCUUGACACACUGAUUUUCCCAAUAAUGUUACAUCUUCAAGACAGCAAAGCAGUGUUUAGAAUACAUCCAGUAGCAACAGAGAGCCUUGUAUAACAUACUCACAGAGUGACAGAGUAACAUCGCAUACUUUUGUCAACUUCUGCCGUCUGGCCUCAACUACUGGUACCAUCCAUAUUUGAGAGAUACACAAGGGCCUGAACCUGAGAAGGCUGGUCUCAUAAGCUUCUCCUUAAACUCUGUCUGCCACCAACAAAAAGCAGAGUUCCUGCUCCUUGUCUAGGUCCCUGAGGAGAGAUCGCGUUACAGGGGACAGUGAUCAUCAGGAGGGCUCAUCAGGAGGGCUUCAUGGGAUAGCCAUAUUGGAGUGAAAUCAUGGACAGGUUCAAGUGCCUCCAGUAAAAUAACCAGAAGAAACUGAAUUGUGGACAACAAAUGCUAUGAGGAUUGUGACAUUCCGGCCUGUGAUCAAAAGCAGGCAAGACCAGGAAGCACAUGGCAGUCACAGGCAGAACUUAGAGGGUGACAUGGGACUUGCUGGGUCCAGGAAGAGACCCACCAGGUCCUUAGCAAGUUGGGAAAGAAUAGAUCUCACAUCUCCAGCAACAGAGGCCAGCUGGGAGAGCAUGGGCAGAACAGAAAAGGGACAUUGAUGCAGCUAGCAGGCGAGGUCCCCAUGAGGCCUGCCUCGAGACCUGCAGUGCUGGCUCCCAUGGCAGUAGGGUAAAUUCCCCCAUCCAUCAUCUUUAGGGGGGAAAGUCUGGAAACCUGAGCAGUUACCUGGAAAGGACUGUUUUAAAGUACAAGGAGACUGGCAUAUUGCUAAUUGACUCAUUUAAAGUUCACAUUCGUUUCCCUGCUACCCCAGGGCUGUAGAAUCUUGAAGAAAACUCAAUCCGUUAUAGAGAAAUAAAGGAACUACAUUUUCUUCUC
rnacentral:lncRNA from 1 species